AGAAGAAGAUGAGAGAGAGAGAGAGAGAGAUAGAGAGAGAAUUGAGAAACGGAGACAUAUACAGAGAGAGAGAGAGAGAAGGAGAAAGAGAAGCAGUCUCUACCCAACCAACAAAAUACAUACGAGUUCAGAGAGAGAGAUAGAGAGAGAGAUUGUUAUAUUUGGGCUUUCUUUGUUUUGAAGAAAAAGAAACGCCAAUGGUUAUUCUUCUCUGACAUGGAGGAACUCUUUCACUGGAAUUUCUGAGAAGAUUCGGUCCAGAUUUCUUUGAGCAGCCGUAGAUCUCAAGAUAUGAUGAUGAUGAUGAUGGAGAAAGAAGAGAAGAAUGAGAGAGUAUUGUGUGAGCCAGCAGGAGCAGGAGCAGGAGCGGGAGCGGGAGCGGGAGCGGGAGCAGAGCCGAAUUUGUUCCUACAGUGGGGUAAUGGGAAGAGACUGAGAUGUGUGAGGGUGAGAGACCCACAUAUCUCCGAACCAUCAUCCUCUAACGCCGCUCGAUUUCGCCGCAAAAUAACAUAG